GUGAUGGGUGAAUGGAAUCGUCAACACAAGAGUUUCAACAUGUCUUCUUCAAGAAUGAAAAUGUCUGACGGAGAUUGGGUCUGUGCAGACGAAAGCUGCGCGAAUGUUAACUUCGCUCGAAGGACUUCAUGCAAUCGGUGUGGAAAGGCCAAAGUUAAAGCCAAAGUAGAUACNAUCAAGUUAAGUGGCAUGAGGGUUGGCAAACAAGGAGCCAAUAAAAGCGGUGGACUGUUCAGUGAAGAGGACUGGAUUUGCUCAAAGUGUGGAAAUGUGAACUGGGCUCGUAGAAAUCAGUGCAACAUGUGUAAUAAUCUCAAGUUUGCUAAAGUAGAAGCAAGAACAGGUUAUGGUGGUGGAUUCAAUGAAAGAGGAACNGUAGAGUAUAAAGAAAGAGUACCUUCUGAUGAUGAUGAUUAUGAUGAGUUUGGGCGUAGGAAGAAAAAGAAGGGUGCAAACCAACAAGAUGAAAAGAAAGAAGAAAAAGUUGUGGAAAUUGAAGACAAGGAAGAUGAAGAUGUUUCAAAAUAUGACUUGGAGGAAGAAGAGGAUGAUGAAGAUGUUGAUCUCUCCAAGUAUGCCCUUGAUGCAUCUGAUGAUGAUGAUGAUGAUGAGACCAACAUACCCAAGAAAAAGGGCCGGUCCAGAUCAAGGUCUUCCUCAAGAUCUAGAUCAUCACGCUCUCCAAAGAGAAGGCGUAGAACUUCUUCAUCAUCAAGUAGUUCAAGGUCUCGUUCAAGAUCCAGAUCCCGUUCUCGCUCAAGAUCAAGAUCAUAUUCAAGAUCACAUUCUAAAUCAAGUUCAUCAUCAUCAAGGUCUUCAUCACGAUCUAGAUCCAGGAGUAGGAGCAGGAGCCACAAGCGAGCUAGAUCUAGGUCAAGGUCUAGGUCACGGUCUCAUUCCAGGUCNCCUAAGAGUAGGAGGUUUGGAUUUGUAGAGAAUGGAUUUCAGCAUCUUACAUUUAUCAAUCUGAUUAAAAAAAUUUUUUUUUUAGUCACCAAACUUACAAUUUAUUUUGUAAUUUUUCAAAGCUUACAUCAGAAUGUUAAAAGUUUAACCUGUGAGUUUCAAAAAAUGAAUCAUAGCAUAGUUAUUAUUGAUCUGCAUGCUGAAUUUUUUGAUACUUCUGUUUGAAAAUUGUUGCAAUGUAUAGUAGUAUUUGUUUUGAGAAAAAAUCUGAAUGCUUUUUUAUAGAUACAUAUAUAUGAGCUACUAGUACUGGCCAUUAUAAAGCUGUUGAUACCAUUACUGCUAUUUCCAUAAACAUGCAAACUCGCUGUGAGUUGCAUGCUGAAAUUUGGUUUUUUCGCUGCCAUCAAUCAAAGCUAAUCAGUCAGUUCCUUUCAUAGUUUUGACUGUUGGCAGUGAAAAACCGAAUUUCAGUGUGCAGCUCACAGCUACAAAGUUUGCAUGUUUAUGAAGAUAGUAGUAAUAGCUACAGAUAAAAAAUAGCUUAGCUAUACUGGUAUUCAGGGUAUGAUCAUUAACAAUGUGGUUUUUUUCAACAGAAAGCACCCAAGAUCAAGAUAGAAUCCCACAUUUGUGUGAGGUCAAUUGCCUUUCAGGACUCCUGAUACUUCACAAGGAAUGGUAACAUGAUUUACCUAUAAAACAUAUUGGGUAUUUUCCUUAGUUUUGUACUUACACACCAUUCGCAAGAUACUCGAUGGAAAAACGUAGAAAGCGGAAAAACCUUACUAUGCAUGGAGCUGUAACAGUAAUCGUGUGAAAUGGUUUUCGAAUGUCAUGUAUUUUGUCAUUAAGGAAAAAUAAAACUUUCUUAGUCCUA
rnacentral:misc_RNA from 1 species